UCGAGCGAAUGAUGAGGAGCUUGCUCCUCUGAUUUAGCGGCGGACGGGUGAGUAACACGUGGGUAAUCUGCCUGUAAGACGGGGAUAACUCCGGGAAACCGGGGCUAAUACCGGAUAAUAAGAGAAGAAGCAUUUCUUCUUUUUGAAAGUCGGUUUCGGCUGACACUUACAGAUGAGCCCGCGGCGCAUUAGCUAGUUGGUGAGGUAACGGCUCACCAAGGCGACGAUGCGUAGCCGACCUGAGAGGGUGAUCGGCCACACUGGGACUGAGACACGGCCCAGACUCCUACGGGAGGCAGCAGUAGGGAAUCUUCGGCAAUGGGCGAAAGCCUGACCGAGCAACGCCGCGUGAGCGAUGAAGGCCUUCGGGUCGUAAAGCUCUGUUGUUAGAGAAGAACAAGUACGAGAGUAACUGCUCGUACCUUGACGGUACCUAACCAGAAAGCCACGGCUAACUACGUGCCAGCAGCCGCGGUAAUACGUAGGUGGCAAGCGUUAUCCGGAAUUAUUGGGCGUAAAGCGCGCGCAGGCGGUCUCUUAAGUCUGAUGUGAAAGCCCACGGCUCAACCGUGGAGGGUCAUUGGAAACUGGGAGACUUGAGUGCAGGAGAGAAAAGUGGAAUUCCACGUGUAGCGGUGAAAUGCGUAGAGAUGUGGAG
rnacentral:rRNA from 1 species